rnacentral:tRNA from 1 species
UCUGGUGUGGCUCAGCAGUAGAGUCCUUGCCUUAUAUAUGGAGACCCUGGGUUUGAUUCCCAGCACCAGGA